UCUUCGGCAAUGGGCGCAAGCCUGACCGAGCGACGCCGCGUGGGCGAUGAAGGCCUUCGGGUUGUAAAGCCCUGUCGCGAAGGGGGAAAACCGACCCCCUUCGGGAGGAAGCACGGGCUAAGUUCGUGCCAGCAGCCGCGGUAAGACGAACCGUGCGAACGUUGUUCGGAAUCACUGGGCUUAAAGGGCGCGUAGGCGGGCCGGCCGGUCGGAGGUGAAAGCCCCCAGCUCAACUGGGGAAGGGCCUUCGAUACCGCCGGCCUUGAGGGAGGUAGGGGCGUGCGGAACUUCCGGUGGAGCGGUGAAAUGCGUAGAUAUCGGAAGGAACACCGGUGGCGAAGGCGGCACGCUGGGCCUCUCCUGACGCUGAGGCGCGAAAGCCAGGGGAGCGAAC
rnacentral:rRNA from 1 species